CAAGGGUCAGGGUAGAGACAGAUCAGAGGCACAGACAGUAAGGGCUACAUGGUCUUGCUGAGCUGUCCACCCAGCAAUUAGAGGGGCAUGAGAAGCUGCACAGUGACAACCACAAGGAAGUCAUCAGCAUGAGUCAUCUGCAAAUAUAGCCAACUCCAUGUCAUCUCCUUGCUUCAGCAGGGGAGAAGGUGGUUUUCCCAGAAGGAGCUAGAAUAUGCCUGGCUCUGGCAGAGGUCCAAACACAGGAGAAAGACGGGGAGUUUUUGAAGUUCUCUCUCUCCUACUGUGCAAAUUAAAGGUCCACUCAUCUUUCUUACCCUCUGACCCUGAGAGAAACACACAGCUCAGCAAAGUGCUGACUGAGGCGUGUUUCUCUCAAAGAAGUGCCA
ensembl:lncRNA